GAUGAACGCUGGCGGCGUGCCUAAUACAUGCAAGUCGAGCGAACAGACGAGGAGCUUGCUCCUCUGACGUUAGCGGCGGACGGGUGAGUAACACGUGGAUAACCUACCUAUAAGACUGGGAUAACUUCGGGAAACCGGAGCUAAUACCGGAUAAUAUAUUGAACCGCAUGGUUCAAUAGUGAAAGACGGUUUUGCUGUCACUUAUAGAUGGAUCCGCGCCGCAUUAGCUAGUUGGUAAGGUAACGGCUUACCAAGGCAACGAUGCGUAGCCGACCUGAGAGGGUGAUCGGCCACACUGGAACUGAGACACGGUCCAGACUCCUACGGGAGGCAGCAGUAGGGAAUCUUACGCAAUGGGCGAAAGCCUGACGGAGCAACGCCGCGCGAGUGAUGAAGGUCUUCGGAUCGUAAAACUCUGUUAUUAGGGAAGAACAAAUGUGUAAGUAACUAUGCACGUCUUGACGGUACCUAAUCAGAAAGCCACGGCUAACUACGUG
rnacentral:rRNA from 1 species